CCUACGGGGGGCAGCAGUGAGGAAUAUUGGUCAAUGGGCGCGAGCCUGAACCAGCCAAGUCGCGUGAGGGAAGACGGCCCUACGGGUUGUAAACCUCUUUUGCCGGGGAGCAACGGGCGCCACGUGUGGCGCCACUGAGAGUACCCGGAGAAAACGCAUCGGCUAACUCCGUGCCAGCAGCCGCGGUAAUACGAAGGGGGCAAGCGUUGUUCGGAAUUACUGGGCGUAAAGGGAGUGUAGGCGGUUUAGUAAGAUAGUGGUGAAAUCCCAGGGCUUAACUUUGGAAUUGCCAUUAUAACUAUUAGACUAGAAUUACAGAGAGGAUAGUGGAAUACCCAGUGUAGAGGUGAAAUUCGUAGAUAUUGGGUAGAACACCAGUGGCGAAGGCGACUAUCUGGCUGUACAUUGACGCUGAGGCUCGAAAGCAUGGGGAUCAAACAGGAUUAGAUACCCCAGUAGUC
rnacentral:rRNA from 1 species